rnacentral:rRNA from 1 species
CUGAGAGGACGACCAGCCACACUGGCACUGAGAUACGGGCCAGACUCCUACGGGAGGCAGCAGUGAGGAAUAUUGCGCAAUGGGGGAAACCCUGACGCAGCAACGCCGCGUGUGGGAAGAAGGCCUUCGGGUCGUAAACCACUUUUACUCGGGGACGAAAAAAGGGAUAUCAAAUAAAUAUCCCCGAUGACGGUACCGUGAGAAUAAGCCACGGCUAACUCUGUGCCAGCAGCCGCGGUAAGACAGAGGUGGCAAGCGUUGUUCGGAAUUACUGGGCGUAAAGAGUCUGUAGGUGGUUUGUCAAGUCUUUGGUGAAAGGCCGUAGCUUAACUAUGGGAAUGCCAAAGAGACUGGCAGGCUGGAGGCUGGGAGAGGGAAGCGGAAUUUCUGGUGUAGCGGUGAAAUGCGUAGAUAUCAGAAGGAAGGCCGGUGGCGAAGGCGGCUUCCUGGAACAGUCCUGACACUGAGAGACGAAAGCGUGGGGAGCAAACAGGAUU